AGUGAACGCUGGCGGUAGGCCUAACACAUGCAAGUCGAACGGCCGCACAGUAAGCUCUUGCUCUUACGGUUGGCGGCUGGCGGACGGGUGACGCAUACAUCGGCAUCUACUUUUUCGUGGGGGAUAACGUAGGGAAACUUACGCUAAUACCGCAUACGUCCUACGGGUUAAAGCAGGAGAUCUUCGGACCUUUCGUGUUUCAAUGAGCCGCUUCCGGAUUAGCUAGUUGGCGUGGUAAAGGCCCAACAAGGCGAAGAUCCGUUGCUGGUCUGAGCGGAUGAUCCGCCACACUGGAACCUAGAAACGGUCCAAGAUCCUAAGGGAGGCAGGAGGUGGGAAUAUUGGAGAAUGGGGGCAAGCCCGAACCAGCCAUAGCGCGUGGGUGAAGAAAGCCUUCGGGUUGUAAAGCCCUUUUUAUGGGAAAGAAAAGCAGGAGGAUAAUACCCCGCUGUUCUGACGGUAACCAAAGAAGAAGCACCGGCUAACUUAGGG
rnacentral:rRNA from 1 species